UGGGCAUUGAUAAAUCAAUACUGAGCUGAUGCCGUAGAUAAACGGUGGGCGUCAUCAGGAAGCACGAAGGAAAAGGAAAAAAAGAAGAAGUGAAACCAGGGUGGGACAAAAUAUAACAACGUGCCCAUCAAGUCAAGAGCCAGCACACACAGGACCAACCCAAGAAAGAGCUGACCCAGCCUGGCCACCACCACCAGAUGCCGGAGAGGCCCAAGGCGAGGGGCACGGCAGGCUGGAGUUGGGUGCAGAGCCUGGCCCUUCCCUCGCUGAGCCUCAGUUUCCUCACCUGUACAAGGGGUGCGGAAGCGGAGGGGAGUGAGUUACCCCAACUAAGAAUAGCUGCUGCCCCCUGUGCCAGCCCCAACUCCUCACAGGCUGUUUCCAGCUCCACACCCUCCGGGUCCCUCUGAGAGCCCUGUCACCUGAGCUGAGGGGGCCCAGACCGCCAAGUCCGGAGCCUGCUGCAAGCCCGGGUCCUGCCAUCCCAGGCCAUCCCUGAGCCUACCUACCACUCUAGGACCACUGUCCCCUCCUACUGCCAUCUGGAGGCCCUGAGGUCUCACACCUCCAGGCCCAGACACUGCUUCCCUCUCUCCUGCCAGAGCUGGGCUGUCCUUCCCAAAUAGGGGUUGGGGGGGGUGGGGGGGCAAUGCGUCUGUUUCAACCGUCCCCACAUUCGGAACAAUGCUCCUCUGUCAGCCCAGACGGGCCCUCAAAGCGAACUCCCCCUCUGCCCACAUGGCCCUCGGGCUGCAUCUCUGGUCUGGGCCAAUGGGCAGCUGCCACCCUCGGACUGAAUAUUCCCACUGCUGCCCCCUCCCUCCUCGCCAAGAACAGCCCCCUGUCCCGCUGCAGCCAGAGCUGCAUUUCAGAGCCCACAGUUGCCCACUCACAAACUCCCUCUCUUUAAAACACUCCACACAAAGCCGCUUUUAUCUGGUUCAAAAACAGGCUUUAAAAGCUUUAAAAGUCUUUGCAGUGGUUUCCCAUGUUCUGGUCUCUUUCAGAUGAUAAUGGUUUUAAUUAUAACAAUCAUUAUAGCAUAAUACCUUCAAUUUAGGCAAUCAGCUCCAUUCAGAAUAUUCAAACGGUGGGGGGAAGGGUGACUGUGGCACCGAGGCUUUCUCUGUGCUCGGUUUCAGAGAGAAGCUCCCUGGGCCCAGCAGGUGCUGGCUGCCGCGGGGGACGAGAGGCCCGCUCCUCGGAGAGCUGUGGGAGAAGCUCUUGAGCGGAAGUGCCUGGGCCUCCCGGGAGCAGCCUAGACGGAACCCACAGGGCUUCCAGCACAGGAAACCCCAGGGCUCCCCAGCAGGAACUCUGCAGCCCUCAGAGACCUGCCCUGGCUCCCUAUCCCCGAAAGCAUGGUCCAGUUCUUUAGUCCUCUCCUAUCCGACUCCAGGUUUAUCUUGCACAAAAUCCUUGCACGCACCACCCGCACCUGGCCCAGCGCAUGUACUCUUCAUGCACAGGAGACACAGCUGCCCCCACCUAUCAGGCACCAACCCAGUGCCAGGCACCAUGCUGGCAAUGUCUAAAAGUCCUACAUCCUGGCUUACCCAUCAGUCCCAGGCAAACUGGGAUGGUUGGUCACCUGGCGUGCUAGGCUCUGGACAUAUAGCCAUGACCCAGACUUCCUCCCCGACCUGAGCAAGCCCUGGGUCUAGAGGGGAGACAGAGCUUACAAAUAUUGACAACGUGGAACAUACUAGUGUCCUAGCACUGCUGUAACAAAUUGCCUCAAACUGGGUAACUUGAAACAACAGAAAUUUAUUCUCUCAGAGUUGAGGAGGCCAGAAGGCCAAACUCCAGGUGUUGGCAGGCUUGGCUCCUUCUAGAGGUUCUGGGGGAGGGUCUGUUCCUGCUGGGUUGCCAGCACCCCUGGGCAUCCCUUGACCUUCAGACAUGUCACUCCAAUGUCUGCCUCCAUCGUCAUAUGGCCUUCUCUGUGAGUCUCUGGGUCUUCUCUCCAUGUAAGACACUAGUCUUUGGAUCUAGGGCCCGCCCUAACUCCAAGCUGAUUUCCUCUCAAGAUCCUUAACUAAUUCCAUCUGCAAAGAUCCUAUUUCCAAAGAAGGUCACAUUCUAAGGUUAUGGGUGGACAUGAAUUUGGGAGGGACACUAUUCAACCCACCACAGGUGUGAACUGAAUAAAUGCCAACUGGGGGUCCAGAAAAAUCCCCUAGGAGCCCCAAGACUGGAGGGAGAAGGAAGUUUCAUUCAGUCGUUCCGCAAAUAAUCACCGAGCACCUCCUCCAUGCCAGGCCCUCUUCUCUAGGCUAGGAAGACGUCAGGGAACAAAACCAGGAAUCCCCAUGUUGUGGAGCUCACGGGAGCAGAGGAGGAAGCGCUGGGAGAAGUCUGGAAGGGGCUGUAAUCUUUCAAAUGAGCCAUGGCCGGGCUGCGGGUCCCUCGAAGAUAAAUGUGCAUGCCGAUGCCUAUGCCUUCACCAACUUCCUGUCUCAGAAGACAUCUCAUGCACAUGCACACACACAUGCACACACACACACACACACACAUGCACACACACCUCCCGCGGCUGGCUGGCCUCUCAUCUCACUUGCACACUGGGGGCUGCACUACCUUGAGUGUAAUGUGUCCUGGCUCUCCCCUCCCUCUUCGAAGUCUGAAAAUGGCCUCUCUCCAAGCUGACAGAUGCCCAUUCUAUGCCCAGCCUGCCCUGGACUUAGACGCUCUACCUAUAUACCAGAUGCCAACUCACCAAACUGACCUGCCAUACACGGGAGGAGGGGCCUCACCCUGUCUCUGAGGAAUUAUUUAUGGAAAGAAAGUUUGGUUCUCGUCACUCCCUGCUGAAAACCUUGGCAUGGCUUCCUGUGACUUUUAGGAUAAAAACUCACAGCUCACCAGCCCCAGAGGUCCAUGUAACUGAGCUGCACCCCACGGGCCAGCUCUGAUAGCUCCCUAAAGGUGUCAAGCUCUCUCCUUUUCCAGGGCUUUCCCAUCUGGCCAGCUGACUCCUCAGGUCUACUUUAAACACAGCUUCCUCUGAGAAGUCUUUCCUACCUCCUGUGUAAUCCAAAUUUACUCUUUCUUUUUAUGCACUUUACUUUUUUCUUUAUGCAAUAAAGCAUAGUGGUUAGCAGUCGAGAAUUUGGAGUCAGACUUCCCGGUUCAAAUCCCAGGUCUGUUGCUUACUACCUUUGUGACGUGGGCUAGUUAUUUAACUUCUCUGUGCCUCCGUUUCCUCAUCUGUAAAAUGGAGCUAAUUCAUAGAGUUGUUAGGAUAAAAGGAGGUAAUCCACUUAAAGUGUUUUGAACUGUGUGGAGCCUGUAGUAAAUCAUCAGUAUCGGCUGUUACUAUUAUUAGCGUCGUUUGAUAAUCUCCCCUCACUCCCUUUGCUUUGCCUUCAUAGCCCUUCUCGCAGUUGGUGACUGCACAUCGACUUGGUGGUUAUUUGCUGACUGCUGAGAUGCCAGCUCCAUGAGUGAAAGGAGCCUGGAUGCCUGGCAUAGUACCUGGCACCAUAGGCACUCGAUAAUUAACACUCGUUGAUGAGAAAAGAAUCAUCACUGGUUCUGCGUUCAGGUGUCCCACCGACAGCCUCCCUUUCCUAGGAAGGGCUGAGAGUCCCAUCACUUCGCAGGGAGUGAGAAUUCUGUCCCGCGAGGUGACUAACCAGCAGAGCUGCUGCUGAAGGUCACAUGGACAGGGAGGGAUGCGGCCAGAGAACACGGGAGGUCAUCCCUCUCCCCACCAUGGUGACCCUGGAAGAGCUCACAAGGGCAGGAGCCAGUCCUGCUGGCUAGACUCCCCCCGCAGCUCCGCAGCCAGAAACAGGGAGGUUAAUAAAAC
ensembl:lncRNA